rnacentral:rRNA from 1 species
GAGUUUGAUCCUGGCUCAGGACGAACGCUGGCGGCGUGCUUAACACAUGCAAGUCGAACGGUGACCCGGACUUCGGUCCGGCGAUCAGUGGCGAACGGGUGCGGUAACACGUGGGCAACCUGCCCCAGACUCUGGGAUAACCCCGGGAAACCGGGGCUAAUACCGGAUACUCCGGCCAUACCGCAUGACGCGGCCGGGAAAGCUCCGACGGUCUGGGAUGGGCCCGCGGCCUAUCAGCUUGUUGGUGAGGUAACGGCUCACCAAGGCGACGACGGGUAGCUGGUCUGAGAGGACGACCAGCCACACUGGAACUGAGAUACGGUCCAGACUCCUACGGGAGGCAGCAGUGGGGAAGUCUUGCGCAAUGGGCGAAAGCCUGACGCAGCGACGCCG